rnacentral:rRNA from 1 species
GAUGAACGCUGGCGGCGUGCCUAAUACAUGCAAGUCGAGCGAACAGACGAGAGUGCUUGCUCUCUUCGACGUUAGCGUGGGACGUGUGAGUUACACGUCUGUAACUUACCUAUAUCACUGGGACUACUUCGGGAAAUCGUAGCUAAUACCCGAUAAUGUUUAGCUUGGGAUGUAUUAAUAGCUAAAGACCUUUCUUGUGUCUAUUAUAGAUGGACUCGCGGUGUAUUAGCUAGUUGGUGAGGUAACGGCUCACCAAGGCAACGAUACAUAGCCGACCUGAGAGGAUGAUCAGCCACACUGGGACUGAGACACGGCCCAGACUCCUACGGGAGGCAGCAGUAGGGAAUAUUCCGCAAUGGACGAAAGCCUGACGGAGCAAUGCCGCGUGAGUGAAGAAGGUUUUCGGAUCGUAAAACUCUGUUGUAAGGGAAGAACAAGUACGUUAGUAACUGAACGUACCUUGACGGUACCUUACCAGAAAGCCACGGCUAACUACGUG